UACGGAGGGUGCAAGCGUUGCUCGGAAUUAUUGGGCGUAAAGGGUAGGUAGGUGGUCUUAUUUGUCUGGGGUGAAAGCCUUGAGCUUAACUCGAGAAGUGCCCCAGAAACGGUGAGACUAGAGUCCUGGAGAGGGUCGUGGAAUUCCCGGUGUAGCGGUGAAAUGCGUAGAGAUCGGGAGGAACACCAGAAGCGAAGGCGGCGACCUGGACAGGCACUGACACUCAACUACGAAAGCGUGGGGAGCAAACAGG
rnacentral:rRNA from 1 species